rnacentral:misc_RNA from 1 species
GGAAAUAAAAAUCGUAACAAGGUUUCCGUAGGUGAACCUGCGGAAGGAUCAUUAUUGUAUAACCGAGGUGCGAGGGCUGUCGCUGACCCGAAAGGUCGUGCACGCCCGAGUGCCCUCACACACAUCCAUCUCACCCCUAUGUGCACCACCGCGUGGGUCCCCCUUUGGCUUGUUCGGAGGGGGGCUUACGUUUUCACACAAACUUUGUAUGCAGUGUAGAAUGUAUUUUUUGUUUUUGCGAUCACGCAAUCAAUACAACUUUCAACAACGGAUCUCUUGGCUCUC